rnacentral:tRNA from 1 species
GCGGGUGUGCCGGAAUUGGUAGACGGACCAGACUUAGGAUCUGGCGUGGGAGACCAUGUGGGAGUUCAAAUCUCCCCACCCGCACCA